rnacentral:misc_RNA from 1 species
GUCGUAACAAGGUUUCCGUAGGUGAACCUGCGGAAGGAUCAUUACCACACCAAAAAACUUUCCACGUGAACCGUUAUAAUUAUGUUCUGUGCUUUCUCUCGGGAAGGCUGAACGAAGGUUGGCCGCAUGUGCUUUUGUAUGUGUGGUCUUCCGAUGUAUUUUUAAACCCAUUACUUAAUACUGAUCUAUACUCCGAAAACGAAAGUUUUUGGUUUUAAUCCAUAACAACUUUCAGCAGUGGAUGUCUAGGCUC